rnacentral:lncRNA from 1 species
UAGAUGCUACGUGAAUAAAUGAAUGUUCCGGUGUCGUACUGCAAAGAAAAUAAGAUAGAAUGGCGAGGUGUAGAUGGAUGGUUUGUGUAAAUUUAAGUUGCGUUCGAACUAAGUAUGAUUUUGUUUCUACCUGCAAAACUCUCUUCUUUUGAAUCUCUCAGCAACCACCCAACAAGAAAACACCGUUCUUUUGAAUGGAAGUCCUCGCGCUCCGUAUUUAGAAAGAAGAUUUGUUCACAGCGCUGCAAAUGGAUGGGUGUGCAUUCGAAACUGAAACAGAGCACCUCGCACACACACACAAAAAAAACUGAAAAGAAAAACUUAAACGGAGCAUACAACGGGCUUCUUUUCCAAUCGACGAUGCUC